GAUGAACGCUGGCGGCGUGCCUAAUACAUGCAAGUCGAGCGAACUGAUUAGAAGCUUGCUUCUAUGACGUUAGCGGCGGACGGGUGAGUAACACGUGGGCAACCUGCCUGUAAGACUGGGAUAACUUCGGGAAACCGAAGCUAAUACCGGAUAGGAUCUUCUCCUUCAUGGGAGAUGAUUGAAAGAUGGUUUCGGCUAUCACUUACAGAUGGGCCCGCGGUGCAUUAGCUAGUUGGUGAGGUAACGGCUCACCAAGGCAACGAUGCAUAGCCGCCCUGAGAGGGUGAUCGGCCACACUGGGACCGAGAAACGGCGCAGACACCUACGGGAGGCAGCGGUGGGGAAUCUUCCGCAAUGGACGAAAGUCUGACGGAGCAACGCCGCGUGAGUGAUGAAGGCUUUCGGGUCGUAAAACUCUGUUGUUAGGGAAGAACAAGUGCGAGAGUAACUGCUCGUACCUUGACGGUACCUAACCAGAAAGCCACGGCUAACUACGUGCCAGCCGCCGCCGUAACAC
rnacentral:rRNA from 1 species